AGUGGCGAAAGGGUGAGGAAUAGAUAGGUAACGUACCUUUGGCUUCGGAAUAGCUCAUCGAAAGGUGAGGUAAUGCCGGAUAAUGUCGCGGUCUUAAUGACUGUGACCAAAGAUUUAUCGGCCUUAGAGCGGCCUAUCUCCUAUCAGCUAGUUGGUGAGGUAACGGCCCACCAAGGCAACGACGGGUAGCGGGACUGAGAGGUUGGCCCGCCACAUCGGAACUGAGACACUGUCCGGACCUCCACGGAGGGCUGCAGUAACGAAUAUUGGGCAAUGGGCGAAAGCCUGACCCAGCAAUGCCGCGUGCAGGAUGAAGUCCCUCGGGAUGUAAACUGCUUUCAGGGAUUAGAAAGCUCCGGUUGAUCAAUCCCAGAAGAAGUCACGGCUAACUUCGUGCCAGCAGCCGCGGUAAGACGAANGUGGCAAGCGUUAUUCGA
rnacentral:rRNA from 1 species